rnacentral:rRNA from 1 species
UAUCCCUACGGGAGGCAGCAGUUAGGACUCUUGGUCAAUUUACUAGAGUCUGAACCAGCCAAGUAGCGUGAAGGAUGACUGCCCUAUGGGUUGUAAACUUCUUUUAUGUGGGAAUAAAACAGGGUAUGCAUACCCUCUUGUAUGUACCAUAUGAAUAAGGAUCGGCUAACUCCGUGCCAGCAGCCGCGGUAAUACGGAGGAUCCGAGCGUUAUCCGGAUUUAUUGGGUUUAAAGGGAGCGUAGGUGGAUUGUUAAGUCAGUUGUGAAAGUUUGCGGCUCAACCGUAAAAUUGCAGUUGAAACUGG